UAGUUGGUAAGGUAACGGCUUACCAAGGCGACGAGCAGUAGCCGACCUGAGAGGGUGAUCGGCCACAUGGGAACUGAGACACGGUCCAAACUCCUACGGGAGGCAGCAGUGGGGAAUAUUGCACAAUGGGCGGAAGCCUGAUGCAGCAACGCCGCGUGAGUGAUGAAGGCCUUCGGGUCGUAAAACGCUGUCCUCAAGGAAGAUAAUGACGGUACGUGGGGAUGCAGCCCUGGCCACGUAGGG
rnacentral:rRNA from 1 species